rnacentral:rRNA from 1 species
GAUGAACGCUGGCUGCGUGCCUAAUACAUGCAAGUCGAGCGAACGGACGAGAAGCUUGCUUCUCUGAUGUUAGCGGCGGACGGGUGAGUAACACGUGGAUAACCUACCUAUAAGACUGGGAUAACUUCGGGAAACCGGAGCUAAUACCGGAUAAUAUUUUGAACCGCAUGGUUCAAAAGUGAAAGACGGUCUUGCUGUCACUUAUAGAUGGAUCCGCGCUGCAUUAGCUAGUUGGUAAGGUAACGGCUUACCAAGGCAACGAUGCAUAGCCGACCUGAGAGGGUGAUCGGCCACACUGGAACUGAGACACGGUCCAGACUCCUACGGGAGGCAGCAGUAGGGAAUCUUCCGCAAUGGGCGAAAGCCUGACGGAGCAACGCCGCGUGAGUGAUGAAGGUCUUCGGAUCGUAAAACUCUGUUAUUAGGGAAGAACAUAUGUGUAAGUAACUGUGCACAUCUUGACGGUACCUAAUCAGAAAGCCACGGCUAACUACGUGCCAGCAGCCGCGGUAAUACGUAGGUGGCAAGCGUUAUCCGGAAUUAUUGGGCGUAAAGCGCGCGUAGGCGGUUUUUUAAGUCUGAUGUGAAAGCCCACGGCUCAACCGUGGAGGGUCAUUGGAAACUGGAAAACUUGAGUGCAGAAGAGGAAAGUGGAAUUCCAUGUGUAGCGGUGAAAUGCGCAGAGAUAUGGAGGAACACCAGUGGCGAAGGCGACUUUCUGGUCUGUAACUGACGCUGAUGUGCGAAAGCGUGGGGAUCAAACAGGAUUAGAUACCCUGGUAGUCCACGCCGUAAACGAUGAGUGCUAAGUGUUAGGGGGUUUCCGCCCCUUAGUGCUGCAGCUAACGCAUUAAGCACUCCGCCUGGGGAGUACGACCGCAAGGUUGAAACUCAAAGGAAUUGACGGGGACCCGCACAAGCGGUGGAGCAUGUGGUUUAAUUCGAAGCAACGCGAAGAACCUUACCAAAUCUUGACAUCCUUUGACAACUCUAGAGAUAGAGCCUUCCCCUUCGGGGGACAAAGUGACAGGUGGUGCAUGGUUGUCGUCUGCUCGUGUCGUGAGAUGUUGGGUUAAGUCCCGCAACGAGCGCAACCCUUAAGCUUAGUUGCCAUCAUUAAGUUGGGCACUCUAAGUUGACUGCCGGUGACAAACCGGAGGAAGGUGGGGAUGACGUCAAAUCAUCAUGCCCCUUAUGAUUUGGGCUACACACGUGCUACAAUGGACAAUACAAAGGGCAGCGAAACCGCGAGGUCAAGCAAAUCCCAUAAAGUUGUUCUCAGUUCGGAUUGUAGUCUGCAACUCGACUACAUGAAGCUGGAAUCGCUAGUAAUCGUAGAUCAGCAUGCUACGGUGAAUACGUUCCCGGGUCU